rnacentral:tRNA from 1 species
UACCCCGUGGUGUAACGGUAGCACAAGAGAUUUUGGUUCUCUUUGUCCUGGUUCGAAUCCAGGCGGGGUAGUCA